ACCCACAGAAACAGACAGCGCGGUCAAGAAUAUUCGUUUACUAUUAGCUACUUCCACAAGAUAUUUUUAAGUGUUACAUGGUUUUAACGGACAAUAUUUAGAAACGACACGGUUUGUGCAUAUUUUGCCUAUGCUACGUCAAAAAUGCUUUAUGUUUAGCUGUAGCUUAAUGUUAUUUAUAUGUCACUGUCAGGUUUAAAUGAACCAUUAUUUUACAAUACACUGUGUAUUUAAAUGAAUACACUUAGAAAGAAAUAUUAUUUAUUGAAAUAUCAAAGACAAGAGAUUGAAACAUUGAAUAAUAAACAAAUAAAAGAACCUCACGAUACUGCCUUCUUUCUGUUGAGAGCUAUAAAAACUAUCCCUAUACCAACAAAAAUAAAUAGGCCUAAAUAAAAAAAAAUAAAAAAACACGGUUAAUAUACAGGUUUUUGGCUACACUAACCAUAGUUCAACCAUGGUAUUUAACAACAAAUGUUAAUCAAUCCGUCAAAAAACAUGAUUACUACACUUUUACUAUAAAAAUUUUUUAAUUUUCGUAAAGGAUACGCUGAACAAAAAUCAUUAUGUCAGUGUAAUAUCAUAAUCCAUUUAAUAGUCACAAUAAUUUUCCAUGUUUAAUCAGUUCUUUUUUAUUUUAUUUUUCGGUAAUUACAUUAAAAGUGGUCGAUAAAGUGUUUUAUCUUAGUGUUUUAUAGGGUGAAUUCAGGACGGAUACAAUUUGCCAUUGAGAUGACUGUGGGAAAAAGUGUCCCAAUCAACCUGAAUUCACCCCUAUAUGUGGCACAUUACAGAGCUAGAGAAAACACCUGAGCAAUCGUAAAGCUAAUUUAAAGAUCUGCUGAGGUAAGCAGGAGGGAAACCAUGUGUUUUGACACCACUUGUAAACUUUCUCACCGACACGCCCCACGGAAUCCCCGAUACACUGGAGCUUCCUUCAGUCUUGAGAGCCGGUCAGAGCAGAGAUUUACAUCGCCUGUUUUCUGUUGAGGAAGAAACAUACAGUUUUGGAAUGACACGAGGAAAAUUCCCCCACAGAAUUCGAUAUUUCUGGCCAUCUGUCAUCUUGGCUUGUACAUAUUCAGCAUUCCAGUGCUUAAAGGGCAUUAAAGGAUACAUCUAAGCCAGAGAUGUGUAGGAAGCAGCCAUAGAUUCACACUGUCAGCAAGAAACUUCAUCUGGAUGUCACUGAAGGAAUGGACUCUUUAGACCAAGCAAUGUUUUUCCAGUCUUCUACUGACAAGUUUUGAUUACAGUAUGGAUUCUCUGGUCAUGGACUUACCAAAGAGCACCUGCAGUCUGGCAACACAAGACACAAAGCCAUAGAAGGGCAGGUACUGUUCACCGGCACCAAACCUCUCCCACAACAACUGCUCCACA